UAGGGAAUCUUCCACAAUGGACGAAAGUCUGAUGGAGCAACGCCGCGUGAGUGAAGAAGGUUUUCGGAUCGUAAAGCUCUGUUGUUGGUGAAGAAGGAUAGAGGCAGUAACUGGUCUUUAUUGACGGUAAUCAACCAGAAAGUCACGGCUAACUACGUACCAG
rnacentral:rRNA from 1 species